AAGGAGUCUAACAUGCCUGCGAGUGUUAGGGUGGAAAACCCUUGCGCCUAAUGAAAGUGGAAGUUGGGACCCUUUACCGGGGCACCGACGCCCGACCCUGAAGUUUUCUGACAGUGCUGCGGUAGAGCAUGUAUGUAGGGACCCGAAAGAUGGUGAACUAUGCCUGAAUAGGGUGAAGCCAGGGGAAACUCUGGUGGAGGCUCGUAGCGGUACUGACGUGCAAAUCGAUCGUCAAAUUUGGGUAUAGGGGCGAAAGACUAAUCGAACCAUCUAGUAGCUGGUUCCUUC
rnacentral:misc_RNA from 1 species